AGAUUUUGCCUUUCUCUCUGGAUCACUAGGAUUGGUAACUUUUUCUUCUAGUUUUUGUAUUUUACAGGAAAAAACACAGAAACUACCUCCUAUACGGGUUUCCUGGUGUAGGCCAUCUGUGUUUAGGAGAAGCCGGGCAUUCUGGGAGCUGUUCUGGGUCAAGUUGUACAAGGUGUAGCAGACAGAAGCUGUGGUCUCAUUGGUAACCUCCGACCCUUGGACAGAGUCAGGAAGUAUGGAGACCAAAUCUGAUAAGACGUUUCUGGCUAGAGGAUGAAAGGGAAGCAAAUAAUUCAAUUACAAAUGUACCAUAUA